rnacentral:rRNA from 1 species
GAUGAACGCUGACAGAAUGCUUAACACAUGCAAGUCAACUUGAAUUUGGGUUUUUAACUUCGGUUUGGGUGGCGGACGGGUGAGUAACGCGUAAAGAACUUCCCUCCCAGCUAGGGACAACAUUUGGAAACGAAUGCUAAUACCUAAUAUUAUGAUAAUAGGGCAUCCUAUAAUUAUGAAAGCUAUAAGCGCUGUGAGAGAGCUUUGCGUCCCAUUAGCUAGUUGGAGAGGUAACGGCUCACCAAGGCGAUGAUGGGUAGCCGGCCUGAGAGGGUGAUCGGCCACAAGGGGACGGAGACACGGCCCUUACUCCUACGGGAGGCAGCAGUGGGGAAUAUUGGACAAUGGACCGAGAGUCUGAUCCAGCAAUUCUGUGUGCACGAUGAAGUUUUUCGGAAUGUAAAGUGCUUUCAGUUGGGAAGAAACAAAUGACGGUACCAACAGAAGAAGUGACGGCUAAAUACGUG